GUGGGGAAUAUUGCACAAUGGGCGCAAGCCUGAUGCAGCAACGCCGCGUGAGGGAAGACGGUUUUCGGAUUGUAAACCUUUGUCUUUGGUGAAGAAGAAAGUGACGGUAACCAAGGAGGAAGCCACGGCUAACUACGUGCCAGCAGCCGCGGUAAUACGUAGGUGGCAAGCGUUGUCCGGAAUUACUGGGUGUAAAGGGAGCGCAGGCGGGACUGCAAGUUGGAUGUGAAAUACCGAGGCUCAACCUCGGGGCUGCAUCCAAAACUGUAGUUCUUGAGUGAAGUAGAGGUAGGCGGAAUUCCGAGUGUAGCGGUGAAAUGCGUAGAUAUUCGGAGGAACACCAGUGGCGAAGGCGGCCUACUGGGCUUUAACUGACGCUGAGGCUCGAAAGUGUGGGGAGCAAACAGG
rnacentral:rRNA from 1 species